UUUCUCGAGAGGAGAAAAAAUCGUGGAGGCGCUAGUCCCCAUUUUCACGUUUGAUGCCCAAGAGGACCGAAACCUACUCCACCUAUCGGUUGCCGCUUGCCAGCCCAGCUCCCUUCGCCGACGCCGCUCGCCAGCUCUGCUCCAUCCCUCCGGCGUCCCUGACGCUAGCUCCAGUCGCCGGGCUAGGCCGCCUCCCCGAUUUUUCACAUACAGCUCCUCACGAGCGGCUCGUCCUUUGGACUGGACGCGCCGCCGACCGGGCUCCUUCCUUGAGCCGGUGGCCAAAGGCUACCUGUCCUCAUCAGGCCACUUCUACAACUGGUCUCCCCCUUCAUGUGACGAUGCCUUAACAUGUGCGGCUGAAUCUCUCUCACAGUUUUGACCCGAUUGCUGGAUCUCGCAUUCGUCAGUGGUCAUUUCUUCUCGCACGGUGGCCAGCUUCGCCUCCUACACCGCCGAUUCUCCCUUCCUCUCCUGUCGGUGAGGCCCCCUUUCAUGAUGCCCUAAGCUAUCUACUUCCUUCUCUUGGGCAGAGCUCUCGCUAGUCACCCCAUUUCCUUACAGCCGGUAACCUGAGCUACCAGCAACCUCUGCUUCCUUCUCCAUUUAGCCGAAAGUCUCACUGGAGUUCCAAUCACUUAUGAGGCAGCGACUGCAUUGCGGCACAAAUAGCCACGAAUGACCCCCUCUCAAAGGCAUUGCGGGGUAGUUCAACUCAUGGUCAUCCUAGGAAGGGAGCAAGCUCGAAGCAAGAAAAAAGAGUGAGACCGGGAGACAUAUCCAACAACGAGGAGCUUAAUGAUUUAAAGCUAACACUUCUUCUUACAAGUGCUGCUUAGUUCUCCUCCCACUAUAUAUGCUUCAUUAUAUAUUGCAUAAAUUAGGUACGAUCACAGAUUCCGAGAUGCCUGAUGGGAGAAACCACGUGAUGAGGACCAAAAGUGGUUGCUUGUGUCCCGCAUCUUAGUUCUGAUUUUCAUAUUUGAUGUAUAAAAUUAAGAACAUGUAUGUAUAUAUAUAGCCUG